rnacentral:rRNA from 1 species
GAAUAAGUGCUGGGCAAGACCGGUGCCAGCCGCCGCGGUAAUACCGGCAGCACGAGUGAUGACCGCUAUUAUUGGGCCUAAAGCGUCCGUAGCU